GAAGAAGCAAAGUUGAAAGCUUUUGAAACAUGUCUUCAAUCUGGAUUUCUCCUCCAAAAGUCUGGCUGAAUUAAAUGUUUAGUAAUCUCUGCCCAGUACAUUGAGAAGAAAUGGUUACCAAACCUCUCUUGAAGAGUUAGAUUUGAAGAAAAUUGAAAGAACUAUCAUUUCUUUGUCCUACCCUGUUGCCCGUUGGAUGACUUCUUAGUUUGGUUAAGUUCCUGAAAGCUAAAAGUCACUUAGAGAGACAAUUUCUGUCAAGGACAUUCUUAAUCAGCUGCACUCAGCACAUAGCUGAAUUCUGUGUAUGUAGAAAAUAUGUCACUGAUUAGGUUUCUUGCCAUAUCAAGUACAGCAGCAUGAAAGAACAGCAUCAUGUCCUCAGAACUUACCAGUAAAGAGAAAAUGUUUACAACCUGUCUCUGAACAGCACUGCAUGGAUGAUGGAGCACUUCUGAAAGAAUAUCUGUGAAGGAAAUAAACCCAUUAAUUGAACAGAAUUACUGCA
ensembl:lncRNA